GACGAACGCUGGCGGCGUGCUUAACACAUGCAAGUCGAACGGUGAAGCGCCUUCCUUUUUGGUGGGUGUGGAUGAGUGGCGAACGGGUGAGUAACACGUGAGUAACCUGCCCCCUUCUUCUGGAUAACCGCAUGAAAGUGUGGCUAAUACGGGAUAUUCUGGGUCUGUCGCAUGAUGGGUCUGGGAAAGAUAUUGUUUCGGUGGGGGAUGGGCUCGCGGCCUAUCAGCUUGUUGGUGGGGUGAUGGCCUACCAAGGCGGUGACGGGUAGCCGGCCUGAGAGGGUGGACGGUCACACUGGGACUGAGACACGACCCAGACUCCGACGGGAGGCAGCAGGGGGGAAUAUUGCACAAUGGGCGCAAGCCUGAUGCAGCGACGCCGCGUGAGGGAUGGAGGCCUUCGGGUUGUGAACCUCUUUCGCCAGUGAAGCAGGCCUGCCUCGUUUGUGGGUGGGUUGACGGUAGCUGGAUAAGAAGCGCCGGCUAACUACGUG
rnacentral:rRNA from 1 species